GACAGAGGAGGCAAGCGUUGUUCGGGAUCAUUGGGCUUAAAGCGCGCGUAGGCGGCCUUGUAAGUGUCUUGUGAAAUCCCACGGCUCACCCGUGGAACUGCAGGGCAAACUGCAAGACUUGAGGUCGGUAGAGGCGCCUGGAACUCAAGGUGGAGCGGUGAAAUGCGUAGAUAUCUAGGGGAACGCCGGAGGCGAAAGCGGGCGGCUGGGCCGAUUCUGACGCUGAUGCGCGAAAGCGUGGGGAGCAAACAGG
rnacentral:rRNA from 1 species